ACUGUGGAAUUUUCCACAGUCAGUGUUCAACGUAUUUUGAUAUAGAGCUUUUGUGAGUAUGAAACCAGAGUGCUCCAGAAUCUAAAAAGUACUUGAAAAUGAGAUGACGAGCUCCAUGAGGGCCAAGGCUCUCCAUUCUUGUUCACCACUGCACACUCAGGAGCUCAUGGCAUGCUGGCUGUGCUAGUUCUGUGAGUAUUUAUUGAAUUAAUGAAUGAAGAUCCUGGAAAUUUCCAGAAGUUCUUCAGAUGGGAAAACUAAUAGAAGGCUGGGUUUCCCGCAGGCAAGCAAAAAGCAGUUUUAAGUCUAAGAACUAAGGCCUUGAGAGACAUCUUCUAAUUUUGUAAGCAUUGCUGGUUAGGCAUACACAGAUGAAUUACCCAAAUGAUAUGAAAGAAAUCUGCCGUAUUAACAUCAUGUCUGGUUUAAAGAACAGGGCUUAAAACCUUAAAGAGGUACAUACAUUUCUCUGGGCUUAUGUUUUGUCCCUCGUCCAUAAAACAAUUUAAUGGAACACCGUUUUUUAUACUUAAAUAAGGUGAUCACACAAUUUAUCAUCCAGACUAAGGCAUGUUUGUUAGUGAAAGAGAGUAAUCAUAAUUGUGCCUCAGCAACAGAGGUAAACUGCAGAGGUCUCCAGCAAACUGGGACAAGUGGUCACCCCAGCUGUGGCUGACAUAACAGUAUGAUAUAGGGAAAUGCAAAAUUCUCUGUCCAUGGAGAUCUGUGAUGGGAGCUAUAGAAUAACUAAGCCCAACAUAGAGGGAUGCUUCUCAUCAAUGUGAUGUUGGUGUUUGUGCAAAUUGUAGAAGAAGCAAUGCAUCUUCAAUAAUGCAGUAAACAGAAUAAGAUUACAGUUGCAUUCAGCAUUUUACAUUUUAUUUGGAGCUUGUUCUGUUUAUUAUUUUAUUUUGUUCCCCUCAACAUACCUAUUUUAAUUCCUCAAAAAGCCUUUGAUGAGCAAUGGGCCAGGCACAAUUGUGAUGGAAAGGAAGAACAAGAUAUCAACCAUCCCUAGAGAAUCGACAGUAUAAUUACAGAGCAAAUAGUGUCAUCCAUAAUUACAGAUUAAGGAAUGGACACCCAGAACUCAGAAAUGACUUGGUUAAGGGUGUGUAGAUAAUAAACAGUAUAACUGGAACUGCAAUUCAGAUCUCUGACUUCCAAUUCGGAAUUCACUUUAUUUUGCUCAGCUGCCUCCCACUUAAUGUACUUAAUGUACUUUAUGCUCUUGUCUUCUACCGCACAGAAAUGCCCAUGAAGUACGUUGACACAGUCUUUGCAGAAGCAGAUUGUGCCCGGGCUUAGCGGGCAGUGUUUGUGUUGCCCGUGUGGACUUCCUUUUUAGGCGCUGGCUUCUGGCCCUGUGUCAGGGAUUGGAAGGGGAUUUAAAAGGCCAAGCACAUCUCUGAUUAACUUGUCGCUGUAUCAUACCUAUGUUUAAAUCCUGGGUAAAUUAAAAGGACAAAAAUAUGUCUUUUUACUUCAUGAUCAAAUUCCACUGCAGAGGAGUAAUGAAAUAGUCCAGAUAUGGUCAGGGGAUAACCCUGGGGAUAACAGACCAUCUCUACUCCAUAAAAUGUGGGUAUUUGUCCAUGAUGAAACAUUGGACCUUUUCAUUAAAGAGAAACACUAUUUAUUAGUGCUUUGGGGUUUACAAAAUACAGUCUUUACCGAAUAGAUUUAUUACUGUUCUCAGAUUUCUAAGGGAAACAGCUUUUAAGAUUGCAAUGCAAGUAUUCGAGGAAAUGCGGCAUUAUGCUUAAAUUCUUUUAAAUGCUAGCAACAGGCACUGGUUAAAAGGUAAAGUAUUUUCAAUAGUCAGAGAUACCCCAGCUUACAGAGACUUCUGUUCUUUCAUUCAUUCCAACUACAUACUUCUGCUAGCAUAAGAUCCUGAUGAUAAAAUUGAAAGGUGAAUUUUGUCAUUUUCAACUUUCAAAAAAAAUUUCACUUAUUUUACAGAAAUAUUUCCUAAGUAAGAAAUGACUUUCAAAUAAUCUUUUUUCUUUUUCUGACCUGAAGAGAAUUCUGUAAAGGACAAAAGCAAAAUCAAAAUAGCUCACAAACCAACGAAGUCAUUCCAAUCACAACCAAGGAUAACUAAAAUAGAAGACUCCUAAAGUUACCUGAAAUUGAUCGGGGACCAAGAUAACUGGGACAAUUAUAGUGAAUAAAAUUAUUUUUUAAACAUCUAUAAAAUUAUUGAUCCUAUGCUCAUGACAAAGAUGGAUACAAUGUAUAAUUGAGAUUAAAAAUAACCUUCUCUUUUUGGGUAGUCUGACAGUUUAUCUUAAAGGGAGGGUUUUCUUUGUUGGAAAUAUUUCUGAAUGGGCUUACUAGAGGCAAAGGCUGAGAUCAAAAGGCAUCUAAGCCUGGGGGGAUGGGCUCUGGGGAGCCCUGGUAUGGAUCUAGCUAUAGCUAAAGGGGAAUGGGGCUGGAUGUGGAGUUUGAGAACAGCUUGGGCAAUAGAGUGAGACUUCAUCUCUACAUUUUAUUGUUUGUCUUAAAGUUAGCAGAGUAUGGUGGUGCGUGCCUGCAGUCCUAGCUACUCUAGAGGCUGAAGCAAGAGGAUCCCUUGAGCCCAGGAUUUUGAGGCUGCAGUAAGCUGUGUCUCACCCCUGUUCUUUAGUCUGGGCAACAGAGUGAGACCCUGUCACUAAAAAAAAAAAAAAGCAGAGAGAGAGUGAGAGAGCGGGAAAUGGGGAUGUGAGGAUGGAGAGAGACGGAGGGAGUGGGGCAGUGGACUAAAGGUUUGGUGGAAGGAGAUCUAUUGUUUUGUGAUCCUCUCCUCAGGACCCCUCAAGUCCUCUGGAACUUGAUGAACUUAUUAAUGAUUUAUAAAUAACAAUAAUUUAUUAUUUCUUACUAUUUAAUAUUAAUAUCGUAUAUUAUUAUUUAAUGAUUACUGAUUUAUUAAAUCUUUGGGCUGAUGGAUGGAAUGGGGGGUCUGGGUGGCCAAGCAUUAUUGAACCACAUGGAAAGAGGAGUGCAGACACUGGGGACUGAGCAGGAGUAAACUCUGAGUAAUGUUCAAGACUUUUGGGGAGCACCCGGGACUCAAAGGAUGCAAAGUUGGAUGGGGGUCAGUAAAGUUUAUCCAGUCUCAGAGGAGCAAGAAAACUCCAAUUUGUUAUUGGGGUUACAGACACAAUCCAUGCAUGACCCCAAAACCUUACGGUGUAGUGGAAGAAGCAGAUGGGCAAACAACACACAAGGGAUGUGUAUUUAUCUAAGGAAUCUCAUCUGUGCCACUGCAGCUGCAUCUGUACAAUGUCCAGGGCCCAGAGGAAGGCCUCACUUAUGCUACCUGGAAACUCAGGGCGGUAUUGUGGGGAGGUGGCAUUUUUGCUGGGUCUUGCAGAAUGAGUGAGAGUUGUCAAAUAGUUUUGAAAACUCAGAACAGUAUUAUUUCAAUUUCCUAAAAAGAAGCCAAACGAAGCUGGGAAAGAAGGAGACAGGCUUUCUUGGUGGGAGGUAUAGCAUGAAUGAAGUUAGGAACACGGCAGGUUGUUUGCGGUGUGGUGAGAGGUACCAGGGUACAUGGUUGAGGAGUGGUCAACCUUCACUCUAAAGCCAUAUUUAUUAAGGCCUUAAAGCCUAUACUUAUUUUCUUUAUGCUUAGAAACAAGCAACUUGUCAAGAAUUGAGAUAUAAGAAAAAAAUAUUAAUUUACUUUAUCUAAACUUGGCAUUCAAUAUAGUUACUAAAUUCUCUGUCUGAUACCUGGUUAAAUGACUAAAUAAUAGUCAGUAAAUGAUUCUAAUUUAAGCUUAACUGAAGCUUGUAUCUAAAGUGAACCACAGGUCCCCUCCUCAUCUCCUCAUACCCUCCUGCUCAUAUGUCACAUACCCAAACCCAUAGCAUAUCUAUCUCCACAGUUUUAAUGAUCUUAAUCAUUUACAAUGUUAUUUCUCAUCAUUUAGGUUGUCAGGUGUUCUUUGCAUUAUCAGCCUGCCUAUAGAUAUGGAAUUAAUAAGAUUAUACAAAAUAUUUGCCCAACUUAGAUCAGAGAAUUUUGCAAUUUCCUGAUCAACUGCAAGAUUGAUCUUCCACAAUAUGGAUGUAGUUAUAUACAUACAAACACAUAUAUAUGGGUAUAGUUACAUAUAUAGAGAGUAUCUAUAUGCAUACAGUUAUAUAUAUAUAUUCAAUAAUAUGGAUAUAGUUAUACAUAUAACACUUAGAUGCAGAUAAUGAAAAGACUGUUAUUUGUUUUUAAUUGGCUAUUUAAUUGUUUGAUUCACAAUGUUUGUUUCUGGAAUUCCAUGACAAGUCCAAUAACAUUAACUAGCUUUCAAGGUCGAUGUCAGCAAAAUGAAAUUGCCAUUAGAAGCAUCACAAUCAGUGUCCUUCCUCAUUUGGCAUAGGUGGAGGAGGACUGCAGAGUUACCUUUAGUAAUAUCUCAUGAUACAAUGAUGCUUCAUGUCAAAUAGCAAUUAAUAUCAUUUUAACUUAAAUAAUGUGGAUAUUAUUUUACAUUUUGAUAUUAAUUUUUUUAAAACACUUGAGGUUUAAAGAAAAGAUAAAACAAGGUAGCUUUGUCAAGAAUGAGAAUUUAGAUCUUCACUGGUUAAUCUCUUUAAUUUCAAAUUUAGCUACUUAAGUGGAACGUCCCAACUUAAAAUAAAUGUCUAGAAAUUGCCUCAUAGGUUAAAGAACUCUCAAAAACCUGUCCCUGACAAUGGUAUUUCCAAAAGCAGCUAGUGACAACAGGUUAAAGGGAUUUAUAGCCCCCUUUUAGCAGCUUAAUGUCUAUACAAAGGAAUUCAUUCAUUCACUUCUUUUUUUCUCAACACGUAUGGAACCCCUGCCACACAGGCAGCACUGUCCUAGCUGGAAACAUGAGUAGAUAAAGUCACUGAUUCAAAGGAACUUUAUUCUACUGGUGGGCACAAAAUGGCAGCUAAAUUUAUAAGGUAACAUUGGCUGCUUUACGGAAAAAAACAAAGCAGGGUAGGUGGGUACAAUGAGUGAUUGUCAAGAGUAUGACUAUUUUAGACACGGCGGUCGGUAAAAUCCGCCUCAAGGUGGAGGCAUUAGAACCAAGACCUCUGCUCACCAGCAGGCAGUCUGAAAAAGUAUUAGACAAAAUAACCCAGAAAACAAAGACUUGGGGUGGCAAACAAGCUUCAAGUGCUCAAGAAACUGUAAGAAAUGUUGAUGUGACUGGCCUGAGUUUCAGUCUGAAAACUUUGGGUGCUAAAUAGUGAACAUAGUUGCAGAAAAAUAGAAAGUAAAAGAAAGCAUUGUACGUUUAAACAUAUGCAAAUAAAUAGGUAGAAACAGAUAGAAAACAGUAUGUUUUAGGGAGUAUAAUUUUGGGGUAACAUAUCUUUUAUUAUUUUUCCUAACUGGGGAGGGGGUGGAAGACUAUAUUGCCAACAAAAUGAAAGCUUUUACCCCCUAAACAUGUCAAACAAUUCAGCAGCUGAUAAUUACAUUUAUUGGAGUUAAAAAAUAAAGUGGGAUCUUAAGGAGAAUUAGUUUAUUUGAAUCAUGGUGACUGAGAGUGAAAAGAGAAAAAGACAAAUGUGAAACUUCUGUUUCAUCCACUAAGGAGUCAGCAGAAAGUACCACGGAACCUACAGA
ensembl:lncRNA CHRM3-AS2 CHRM3 antisense RNA 2